AAAUUAUUAAUAGAGAAAAAUGAACCCAACCCUACCCGAAAUGCUAAUCCAAUGCAACCCAACCCUUAUAGUUCGGGUUGGAUUGGUCCGGGUUGUCGGGUUGCCGAGUUGAAUGUACACCUCU